GAGGAGACCAAGGUUCCACAAAUCUCUUAGAAUGUACUUACUCAGUGACUACUUUCCUUCCACUAGGUCUCACUCUCAAAGACUCUGCCACUUCCCAGUGGAGUGAUAGACUGGGACCAAACCUUUGCCACAGGGGCCUUUGGGGGACAUUUACACAAAGCACAGCAAGAGAAAACCUUUCGUUCAAUUACCUACUAGGGUUUAGACUCUGAGGUUAGUUAGAGCCACCUCUAAUGACUCACGGCCAGCUGAAGCCUUGCACUAUGGAAAAAGAUCAAUUAUUCUAGCCAUUGAUUUCCCUUUGUCUAUUGUUUGUCGCUCUCUCUAUGCCUUCAUCUAUAGCAGGCUGUUCAGGGAAGGUAGACACAGCUCACAUGGUUUGGUGACGACAUGCUGUUUGUCAUUAGCUUUUCCAGUCUUUGUUAUUCCCAACUAUGUUUGUAGCUAUCCUUCCAAGGUCACUUCACCACCGUCCUUGUCUCUUCAUGGGGCCACUGUGGAAUCUUGAACAGAAAACUGUGCAGAUGAGUUUUGGAGGAACCCGAGGAUGGAGAAAGAAGGCGGCCCUCUCUCUACAAGCCAUCAACACAAUGUGCUGGGACUUUGAUCUUGGACUUUCAACCUCCAGAACUGUGAAGAAAUCAACUUCUUUUGCUUAAUCCACCCAACCUAUGGUA
rnacentral:lncRNA from 1 species